AGAGUUUGAUCCUGGCUCAGGAUGAACGCUGGCGGCGUGCUUAACACAUGCAAGUCGAACGGGGUAUGGAUUUGGAUUUCUCACGAUUGAAGAGUCCAUACUUAGUGGCGGACGGGUGAGUAACGCGUGGAUAACCUGCCCCAUACCGGGGGAUAACAGCCGGAAACGGCUGCUAAAACCGCAUAAGCGCACAGGAAUGCAUGUUCCGGUGUGAAAAACUCCGGUGGUAUGGGAUGGAUCCGCGUCUGAUUAGCUAGUUGGCGGGAUAGAGGCCCACCAAGGCGACGAUCAGUAGCCGACCUGAGAGGGUGGCCGGCCACAUUGGGACUGAGACACGGCCCAGACUCCUACGGGAGGCAGCAGUGGGGAAUAUUGCACAAUGGGGGAAACCCUGAUGCAGCGACGCCGCGUGAGUGAAGAAGUAAUUCGUUACGUAAAGCUCUAUCAGCAGGGAAGAGAGUGACGGUACCUGAGUAAGAAGCCCCGGCUAACUACGUGCCAGCAGCCGCGGU
rnacentral:rRNA from 1 species